AGGCGACACGGAUACUUCAGGAGUGACUGUGACGGCUGGUUUUGCGAGUCAAAAUGUCAUACUUUUCCAAAACCUUGUACUAUGAACUGCACUGGAAGGGAUUGCAUUAGUGAG